CAAGGACAGACAAACGGAUGAUUAAGUCGAUUAUAUCGACCCCAGUACGUAACUGGUACUUAUUUAAUCGACCCCGAAAGGAUGAAAGGCAAAGUCGACCUCGGUUUAAUUUCUGACUUGCUUGAACGUACUGCGACUUGUUCCUUGCUGGAUCUCUAUGUUACCUGCUUACUGUCAUUGUCCACCUUGGAUUUAUUGUGAUAUCUUCCUCCUCCACAGGGUCUAUAAACGAUAGAAUAUCAGAGGACAUUGGCAUCAGAGGAAUUUUACUGCAGAAGCGUCAUCAAUAUUUAUCAUAUUUUGAAGAUGAUGUUACACAGAACUGGAUAUAAGAACCCUGUUUAUGUAAAUUAACUGUGAAUUACAGUAAAAUAUUUCUUCUGAGUGACAUUAUUGGUGAAAUUUCUUGGAUUCACUCUGAAAUGAGUACAACCUAAAUUUGAAUUCUGAAUAAACUUGGAUAAAUUUAAAAAGACAUUUGCAACAUCUGAAGAUAUCAGCAAAGCUUAUAUUUGAUAAAAAUAUGGCAGUUGUAACAUUUGUUAGGAAUAAAAUAUAGAAACAAGAAGAAAUGAAAUUUCCAGACCUUUUGUUGAAGAAAAAAUUACAGAAAGAGGAAUUGUGUGAGAAUCUUGGAGUUUUGUUAGUUUUAGCUGCAGAGAUGCCAAAAGAAAGAGGAAAAUCUGUAUACGACUGUGAUAUCUGUGGUAAAUCAUUCUCUCAAAGUGUCACAUAACUAACACAAACUUAUUCAUACAGGAGAGAAACCAUAUCAUUGUGAUAUCUGUGGUAAAUCAUUUCUCAUUGUAGUGGUUUAACUUGUCACAGAUUUACUCAUACAGGAGAGAAACACCAUCAUUGUGAUAUCUGUGGUAAAUCAUUUGCUCGAAAUGGUAACUUAACUAUACACAAACUUACUCAUACAGGGGAGAAA
rnacentral:misc_RNA from 1 species